UACAGGGGGUGCAAACGUUGCUCGGAAUCAUUGGGCGUAAAGGGUGCGUAGGCGGGUUUUUAAGUCAGGGGUGAAAUCCUGGAGCUCAACUCCAGAACUGCCUUUGAUACUGAAGAUCUUGAGUCCGGGAGAGGUGAGUGGAACUGCGAGUGUAGAGGUGAAAUUCGUAGAUAUUCGCAAGAACACCAGUGGCGAAGGCGGCUCACUGGCCCGGUACUGACGCUGAGGCACGAAAGCGUGGGGAGCAAACAGG
rnacentral:rRNA from 1 species